UGAUACCGAUGUGGUAGCGAUCCACAUUGGCCCCGAGUUAUGCGCGUUCAAUCGUGAGGCUGAAGGUGAAGUGUUGACAGGGGAGCGUGCAGGCCAGCCGUUGAACCGCGAAACUGGCGCUUUUCAGGUGCCGACGUUCUUCUUGUGGCGGAAGGCAAUAUGAGCAGUUGCGAUAACGCAAGCGGCUGUUCAACUUGGCGUGGUCAACAUCCU
rnacentral:ncRNA from 1 species